AGGACGAACGCUGGCGGCGUGCUUAACACAUGCAAGUCGAGCGGUAAGGCCUUUCGGGGUACACGAGCGGCGAACGGGUGAGUAACACGUGGGUGAUCUGCCCUGCACUCUGGGAUAAGCCUGGGAAACUGGGUCUAAUACCGGAUAUGACCUGCUCUCGCAGUGGGGGUGGUGGAAAGAUUUAUCGGUGCAGGAGUGGGCCCGCGGCCUAUCAGCUUGGUUGGGUGGGUAAUGGGCCUACCAAGGCGACGACGGGUAGCCGACCUGAGAGGGUGACCGGCCACACUGGGACUGAGACACGGCCCAGACUCCUAGGGAGGCAGCAGUGGGGAAUACUGCACAGUGGGCGAAAGCUGAUGCAGCGACGCCGCGUGAGGAGUGGAAGGUCCGUUUCGGGGUUAGUAAACCC
rnacentral:rRNA from 1 species